rnacentral:rRNA from 1 species
GACAGAGGUGCCGAGCGUUAGGCGGAAUCACUGGGCUUAAAGCGUGUGUAGGCGGGCGGGCAAGUCACUUGUGAAAUCCCACGGCUCAACCGUGGAACGGCUGGGUAUACUGCCUGUCUUGAGCCAACUAGGGGCGAGCGGAACAGACGGUGGAGCGGUGAAAUGCGUAGAUAUCGUCUGGAACGCCAAAGGUGAAAACAGCUCGCUGGGGUUGUGCUGACGCUGAGACACGAAAGCCAGGGGAGCGAACGGG